GAUGAACGCUGGCGGCGUGCCUAAUACAUGCAAGUCGAGCGAACAGAUAAGGAGCUUGCUCCUUUGACGUUAGCGGCGGACGGGUGAGUAACACGUGGGUAACCUACCUAUAAGACUGGGAUAACUUCGGGAAACCGGAGCUAAUACCGGAUAAUAUUUCGAACCGCAUGGUUCGAUAGUGAAAGAUGGUUUUGCUAUCACUUAUAGAUGGACCCGCGCCGUAUUAGCUAGUUGGUAAGGUAACGGCUUACCAAGGCGACGAUACGUAGCCGACCUGAGAGGGUGAUCGGACACACUGGAACUGAGACACGGUCCAGACUCCUACGGGAGGCAGCAGUAGGGAAUCUUCCGCAAUGGGCGAAAGCCUGACGGAGCAACGCCGCGUGAGUGAUGAAGGUCUUCGGAUCGUAAAACUCUGUUAUUAGGGAAGAACAUACGUGUAAGUAACUGUGCACGUCUUGACGGUACCCAAUCAGAAAGCCACGGCUAACUACGUG
rnacentral:rRNA from 1 species